CAAAACUCAAAAACUUAACUUUGACCACUGAACCAUGAAAAUGAGGUCAAGGUCACAUGACAUCUGCCCGCUAGACAUGUAUAGCUUACAAUCAUUCCAUACAACAAAUAUAGUAGACCUAUUGCAUAUAGUAUGAGAAAAACAGCCCAAAACACAAAAAUUUAACUAUAACCACUGAACCAUGAAAAUGAGGUCAAGGUCAGAUGACACCUGCCAGUUGGACAUGUACACCUUACAGUCCUUCCAUAGACUGAAUAU
rnacentral:lncRNA from 1 species